rnacentral:rRNA from 1 species
CGGGUGAGUAACACGUAUCCAACCUGCCGUCUACUCUUGGACAGCCUUCUGAAAGGAAGAUUAAUACAAGAUGGCAUCAUGAGUCCGCAUGUUCACAUGAUUAAAGGUAUUCCGGUAGACGAUGGGGAUGCGUUCCAUUAGAUAGUAGGCGGGGUAACGGCCCACCUAGUCUUCGAUGGAUAGGGGUUCUGAGAGGAAGGUCCCCCACAUUGGAACUGAGACACGGUCCAG